rnacentral:rRNA from 1 species
AGUGAACGCUGGCGGUAGGCCUAACACAUGCAAGUCGAACGGCAGCACAGUAAGAGCUUGCUCUUACGGGUGGCGAGUGGCGGACGGGUGAGGAAUACAUCGGAAUCUACUUUUUCGUGGGGGAUAACGUAGGGAAACUUACGCUAAUACCGCAUACGACCUACGGGUGAAAGCAGGGGAUCUUCGGACCUUGCGCGAUUGAAUGAGCCGAUGUCGGAUUAGCUAGUUGGCGGGGUAAAGGCCCACCAAGGCGACGAUCCGUAGCUGGUCUGAGAGGAUGAUCAGCCACACUGGAACUGAGACACGGUCCAGACUCCUACGGGAGGCAGCAGUGGGGAAUAUUGGACAAUGGGCGCAAGCCUGAUCCAGCCAUACCGCGUGGGUGAAGAAGGCCUUCGGGUCGUAAGGCCCUUUUGUUGGGAAAGAAAAGCAGCAGGUUAAUACCCCGCUGUUCUGACGGUACCCAAAGAAUAAGCACCGGCUAACUUCGUG